rnacentral:tRNA from 2 species
UAUAUUUUAGUGUGUAAGCACAUAAAUUUUUGAACUUUAUAGAAAUAAGUUAAAUUAUUAAAUAUAA